GCUCUUUGAGCCGGCGUCUCACUUUCGCGUCCUCGCAGCGCUUGCCGGGGCGGCCAUGUGGGUGUACGCGCUCGUGGGCGCGCUCCUCCUCCUGGGCAUUUGGAGAGCUCUGGGCACCCGAAGCGCCUCUUCCAACCCUUUCCGGGCAGAUUCCAGGCGGCCGCCCGCGCCUCUGGUGACCGACAAAGAUGCGCGCAGAAAGGUCCUCAAGCAAGGUAGCCACCGGCCAGUCUCGGCGGGGGUCGCUGCCAGGCUGGCAAAGGGAGCCCCCCGAAACGGAGCUGCUGGGUGGGGGGGUCAAGUGGCGCGUGAACGAUGCCCAGUGGUGGUGGGCAGCGCGGGAGUUCUGAACUGCACUCGCCGUGCCAGCCUAUGCAUGUUUACUCCAGAGUAAAGUCCGCGUUUACUCUCGCGUAAUUCUUGCAGGCUAAGAGAAGGACUCCUGCCGGUUUCUGUUGCUUAGUGCCCUGUUGGGUUCAGUUCUUGCUUUGCGUGCCAAAGUUCAUCAAUCUGGGCAUUCCAGGAAAAAGAUCUGGGUUAGAGGUGCAAAAAAUCCUUCUCUGCUGCCCCUUGCUCUUCUGGGCUCUGACUACUGCAAACUUCUCCCCUUUUCCAGGCGUAGCCAGGAAUUUUUGUCACGAGGGUCAGGCCUUUUGUUGGGGGGAGGAGAGCAGAACCUCAGUUAGCUAUGCAUUUUUAUUGAUUUUUGUUGAUGGGAGGAAGCUGCCCCUCCCUGCCCCCGCUUGGCUGCCCCUGCAUCCCCAUGUCUCACUUUGACCUUAACUCUGCCCAACACUUUUUCCCACAAGCAUCCCCCUUCACUCCUCUUAUCAUCUGACACCCUUCCUUAAAUCCUUAGACUGACAUCCUGUCUUGUCUCAAAUCCCACACAUGUUUCCAGUCCCUACAGGUCACAGGCCUCCCUUGGCCAGCUUUACAUGAGCUCCUGGACCUUUUCUCUCCCAGUUUGUCAGCACCCCCCACUUUCCAAAUGUUUCCUGGCCUUCCAAGCGUGCCAGGGACUCUCCCAGAUUACCACCAUGGUGUUCAGGUACGACUUCAGGAGUGGGAGCACUCUGGAGCCGUCCUUUAGGGUGGAGGAAGUGCCAGCAUCCCUGCUAGUGCCUUCAAUAGCCAACCUCCAAACCUCUGCAGCACUUCAGGGAUUAAAAUGGUGGGUGGUCCUGCUCCCCUCCUCCUUGCCAUUUCCACAGCUUUCAUCAUUCAGAGCACCACCAAAAACGGAGGCCCAAUUUGGCCAGGCUCCCCUGCCUUGCAGUCAAUGUCAUCAUUUCCUGCUGGUGCUGGUGACCAAGGCCCUGUGCUUAUACAACCAUCACCCCAGUCAGCCGAUUGCUGAACUCUUGCCCAACCCUGUUCAUACCACAAAGGAGAAUGAUAUCAGACUGCUGCCAGGUGAUUGACAAAUGGAUAGCCCUGCCUAGCUGUCUAUAAUCCCUGGGGUUUGGGGGAGGUCAGGCUCUUGCCUGCUCUCUGAAUCUGGUCCUUCUCCUGCCCUGUUCCGUGCCCUCCAGUUUAAGAGAACUAAUCACAUUGACCCCAGAGUUCAGUCUACUGUCAGUUUGUUUCACUGAGGCAAAAAAAAAUGCACACCAAGCAUGAAACAUCCCAUGCAUUCAACCGUGUGCUCAGUGAGCACAAAGAGAGAGACAGAGAGCUUUCAAUGAAAGUGUUUUAAUGCUGUGCUGUUUUUAUUGUAAUUAUCUGUAUGUUUUUAAUAGAGUUUUAUUUUUAGCUCUAUGAAAAUUUUAUUGUAUUUCAUUAUUGAGGGGUUUUUCCUAUGCUUUCAGCUGUUCGUAUUUUUAUCUGUACCUUGUGUCCCUGUCAGGGGAAAAGGAGGGAUAUAAUUAAAUUUGUAAUUAUAAUAUACAUUUUACACAUAUUUAAAUAUGCAUGUUGAGCUCUUUCAUGCCAUGAGGGACCCUGGUUGGCCUCGUGUGGAAGAUAUGUAGGGCCCUUUUCAUGGUUGCCAAAUGACACAGCCAGCAGAUGUGUGUCUAGUCCUCAUGUCGGCAUCAGGCCCCAACUCCAAGCCCCACUUAUCUGGCCCUCAGAACUCUCCCCUGUCCUUGCUUUGCGCCUCAAGGGAUUUUGCCUUGCUGGAAUAUGUCCUGGGAGUCUUAGAAUGCUUCUUGCUUGUUCUGGGUGGAGGGUGGAGAAAGGGAGGAGGAAAUGUGGCCCUCAGGCUGAAAAAUGUUCUCCACCCUUGGAUUAGUGUGAUGUAGAAAUCAGAAGAAAUGGAGGCACUGAGAGAUUUUACUUUCUUGGGCUCCGUGAUCACUGCAGAUGGUGACAGCAGUCACAAAAUUUAAAGACGCCUGCUUCUUGGGAGGAAAGCAAUGACAAACCUAGACAGCAUCUUAAAAAGCAGAGACAUCACCUUACCAACAAAGGCCCAUAUAGUAAAAGCUAUGGUUUUCCCAGUAGUGAUGUAUGGAAGUGAGAGCUGGACCAUCAAGAAGGCUGAUCGCCAAAGAAUUGAUGCUUUUGAAUUAUGGUGCUGGAGGAGACUCUUGAGAGUCCCAUGGACUGCAAGAAGAUCAAACCUAUCCAUUCUGAAGGAAAUCAGCCCUGAGUGCUCACUGGAAGGACAGAUCCUGAAGCUGAGGCUCCAAUACUUUGGCCACCUCAUGAGAAGAGAAGACUCCCUGGUAAAGACCCUGAUGUUGGGAAAGAUGGAGGGCACAAGGAGAAGAGGACGACAGAGGACAAGAUAGUUGGACAGUGUUCUCAAAGCUACCAGCAUGAGUUUGACCAAACUGCAGGAGGCAGUGGAAGACAGGAGUACCUGGCAUGCUCUGGUCCAUGGGGUCACGAAGAGUCGGACACGACUAAACAACAAGAAAUCAGAAAUCAAUGGCUGUGUAGUUCUCUCCCAAACAGUGGACUAGCUACCAUUAUUAAGCAGCUGCCUAAACAGGAAUGAGGAAGGUUUUAUAUAAUCUGGUUAAAUUAACUGCAGCUAGUGCCUUGUAAAACAGACAUGAUGUGCCGCAGGUGGUUUUUACCUUUCGGUUGUCGCUUCAAAUUAAUGGAAAUACAGCCAGCAGGCAAGGCGUAUGGAACUCAGAUAUGGAUCAAUCAUGCAUAUAUAAAAGCUAAACGCUGCUUUACCAGAGUCAUCGGUUCUCACCCUUUGUCAGCUGAUCCAUAAGGCCUUCGCCUAAGUCAAGAUCGGUGACAAAAUUACGAGGUCCUCGGUGCCUUUCUUUUUAAGAUAAUUUUGUACAUUGUACAACUUUCAGGAGGGGGGAAUCUUGCAAGAUUUCCAGCUCAUCUGGGGUAUUUUUACCUUUGAAACAAAUCUUUUUUUAAAAAAAAUGUGAACAAUAGGAAGCUGUCAUGGGCAGAAUCAGACCAGUGCUAUAUCUAGUUCAGUACAGUCGUACCUCGGAAGUCGAACAGAAUCCAUUUCGGAAGUCCUUUCAACUUCCGAAACAUUCAGCUUCCAAAGCACAGCUUCUGAUUUCUUUAUGGUUUCUUCACUGCCUCCAAGCUGUUUGCAAACGCCUGCUGCAUCUGCAACAGUUACCUGAGCAGGGUCUCUUCUGCUACAGCAUAGGAACUAGCCUAUCUACAAUGAUGCCGUAGGGAACAGGAGUUGUUCAUGCCUUUUGUUUCUCUUUCCUCUCCAGGCUUCUGCAAGGACAAAGUUCCUGGCAGUCUGGAUGCCAUUGUCAUUGGAAGCGGCUAUGGGGGCCUGGCGGCGGCCGUGAUGCUCUCUAAAGCUGGGAAGCGCGUGCUGGUCUUGGAGCAGCAUGGGAAGGCAGGGGGCUGCUGCCAUACCUUCAACGAGAAAGGUUUCGAGUUUGACGUGGGUAAGGUGACCUAGUCAGGCUGGGCAUGGGCCGGAGCAGUUAUAUAUAUAUCCUUGGACUUGUAAUGAGGACUAAAUCUUGCUUGUAUUCCCAGUACGUUUCUGAGCACAAUUCAAAGUGUUGGUGCUGGCCUUUAAAGCCCUAAACGGCCUCAGCCCAGUAUACCUGAAGGAGCAUCUCCAGCCCCAUUGUUCUGCCCGGACGCUGAGGUCCAGCUCUGAGGGCCUUCUGGCGGUUCCCUCCCUGCGAGAAGUGAGGUUACAGGGAACCAGGCAGGGCCUUCUCGGUAGUGGCGCCCCUCCUUGCAGAACGCCCUCCCAUCAGAUGUUAAGGAAAUAAACAACUAUCUGACAUUUAGAAAACAUAUGAAGGCAGCCCUGUUUAGGGAAGUUUUUAAUGUUUGAUGUUUUAUUGUGUUUUAAUAUUCUGUUGGGAGCCACCCAGAGUGGCUGGGGAAACCCAGCCAGAUGGCAGGGUAUAAAUAAAUUAUUAUUAUUAUUAUUAUUAUUAUUAUUAUUAUUAUUAUUAUUAGCAUUGGCUUUAUAUGACCUCUGAAUGGAACUAGUAUACUGCAUUUUGCACCAGUUGGCUUUCCCAAAUCAUCUUCAAGGACGGCCCCAUGUACAAUGCAUUGCAGCAGUCAAAUCAGGAGCUUACCAGAGCUUGGAGUACAGUAGGACUGGCUUUGGGUCUUGGUUCAGAAACUGCAGCUAGCGCAGAAUACUUUGACUUAUGGGGCAUCUUCCCAGCAACAGGUAAAAACAGCACUGAAUGCUCUGCAAUGGCUUCCAAUGUGCCACUGACCCAUAUUGAAAGAGCUUGUUUUGACAUAUAAGGCAGCUCAGGACCCAGAUACCUGAAAGACCUCCUCCUUGAUAUACCGCCCUAGGCUUUGAGGCCUUUGACAGUUGCCCUUCUCACAGUGCUGUAUGAGAGGGAAUUCUCAGUAGUGGCACCCCAACUCUGCCCUUCCUUCACAGAAGUAGCAGCACCAUCAAAACAAAGUAAGAACACAGCUCUUCACCCAAAAGUGCUGUGCCUCAGCUGGAUGAUAUGGUUGCAUUGCUAAUAUAUUUUCUAUUUUUACCGAUAAUAUGUUAGCAAUGUAACUAUAGCAUCCAGUUUAAAUGUUUGAAGGUGCAUUCUGUGAUUUGAAUGAAAAAUUGCUUUAUUAUACGUUAAUGCUGUUCCUUGUGGAAUCGUGCAGAAAAUGAAAACGCUGUCAUAAAUAAUUUAAAUUUUUAAAAAUGAGAGCAUUAAAACUAAAGCAGGCCUUGCAUGAUAUCUAGCACAGGGCUGGGUACCUCAGGUCUGGAGGGCCAAAUAUGGCCCUUGGAGCCUUCUCCAGACCAUGUGUUCCUCACUGACCCUGCUUCACACCCCAAAUGUUUUUGUUUGGCUGGAAGAGUUGGAAGAGACCCUGAGGAUCAUCUAGUCCAGGGGUCAGCAACCUAAGGCCCAUGGGCCAGGAGCGACCCAUGGAGGUCGUUUGACCGACCCACAAGCCACCACUGAACCAAGCUGACCACUUGCGUGCUGCGCUAAACCAGCGCAGCGCGGCACAGGGACUCGCUUCUGCGGCGCCGGAAAUCAUGUCUGCGCAGACGCCGGAAAUCUCGGGCACGCACACGAUCCAGCCCAUGGAGGGAUCUCCGCAGGGCCAAUCCAGCUCAGGCAAGAUAAACCUUGCUGACCCAUACUAGUUGAACCCCCUGCAAUGCAGGAAUUCGCAGCCGUCCCAUGCAAACCUGCAACCUUGGCUUUAUCAGUGCCGUGCUCUAACCAGCUGAGCUAUCCAGGCAUAUGUAUGCUUGAACUCGGACAAUAAGUAACCAAACAAACCCCUGUGUUGCAAAGAGAACGUCAGCAAUGUCUAGGAAACACAAUGAUCAUGUACAUACGCAAUAGACAAUCUUUUAUAGAAUUCCUUCAAACCAUAACAAGUACAAAAUGAAAUCUUUAGUCUCAAAGUCUCUGAAAAUCUUUAAAUGAAGCGAGGUAUCAGACUUUGUGUGAUGAAAGACAAGCUGUGAAGCUUUGUGUAUUCAGUAAAUAUGAUGUCCAACACUGAACAGUGAUUCCGGAUAUUGACUACUGUUUCGUAGAAUUCUUCAUCAGCGUGGUGGGAGGAUAUAGAAUUUCUUCAUAAACCCAUCUUAUUUUGAAUGAAUGUAUGUAAACGAAAAUAUCAAAUGCUGUGGAACAGUGCUCAUGUAGUAAUGUAGUCAUUACUACAUGAUAUUUUGCUGGUAUUUUAUUAAGCUGGUUCAUUUUAUUUAUUUAACAAAAUGUAUAUGCCAUAAAAUCUCUUAGUUUAGAGAAAUAUCUCAUCCAAAUACCAGGUUCCAGUUUAGUAUACCCUUCCCAGAUCCUAAAAUUUAGGAGCUAAUCUGUUGCUAUUGUUCUUUCACUAUAACACUUCGUGGGUUUUCUUCCAGGGAUCCAUUACAUAGGGCAAAUGCAAGAGAAUUCUUCCCAGCGCAUGAUUAUUGACCAACUCACAGAUGGGCAGCUCCAAUGGGCCCAGAUGGACUCUCCCUUUGAUACGGUUAUUCUGGGAGAUCCUGACAACUGCAAGAGGUAUUACCUAUACAGUGGGAAGAAGAAAUAUACCGAAGGCCUAAAGAAACAAUUUCCUGGUGAAGAAGCUAAUAUUGAUAGAUUUGUGACACUUAUAAAGGUAAGCCUUUUAAAAGUGGUUCUGGUGAAAGGCCUCUUAAACUGGCUAUCGAGUCUUAAUUGGUUUACAUUAAUAAGGUUUUUUUUAACCAAAAAAAACCCAGUUUAAAUGUAUAUACUAUAUAAUUAAUUAAAUCUAUCCUUUAUUAGGCAUAGCAAACCACACAUUAUCAGACACCGUAUACAAAUUGUGCAAAAUACGAGCUCAACAUAACAAGGUUUGUCCCAGUAAGAUCUUUAACUCCAGAAAAAAAACCAAUUUGCAUAAAUAAUACAAUACAACAUUACCACAUCACCAAUCAAUUAAGAACCACUAGAUCUCUUUAUAAUGGCCCGGUCUUUCUACAUGGACAGCACUAAAAAAUUCAGCCACUAUUAAAGUAAUUUGAUCAUUCCUGUCCGAGAUCAGGUCCUGAACCAUUGGUAGCAUAGAAUUGAGCCUAUUGUGUUGUAAGGCCUCUAAUAAUUUUCUUCUGGCACAAAUGCCAAAAUCACAAGAAAAGAAAAUGUGCUCCAAAGUAUCAGGUUCCUGUUUACUACAUUUGCAGAGACGCUCUGAUUCUGGGAGAGCUAAAUAUCUUCCUCUUACUAUCUUCGAGGGAAACAUUAAAUCUGGCUAACAUAAACAGCCUGCACAAUUCAUGAUUCUUCAGAUUUGUCGUGUAUCCCUUUUGAAAAUCUCUACACAAAGGGAGAUUGAAACAGAGAGGAGAGCAAGUGCUCUGCUUUGCAACCUCGAGAGUGGAGAGAACACUUUUUUUCUGUAAGAUUCUUCCUGAUAAUUUCCCAAAUAUCUUUGGGGUCAGAAUUUUCAAAGUCAGUUAGAUUAAGCCCUAUCGAGUUCAAUUUUCUCCUACAAAUCAAUGAUAAAUUGUAAUUACAUUAUAUACUAUAUAAAUGUAGUACAUUUCUUCCAAGUUGCUCAAGGCAGUGCACAUACGGUUCUUCCCUCCCCAUUUUAUCCUCAGAACAACCCUGUUUGGUAGGCUGAGCUGAAAGACAGUGAGUGUACCUAAAAUCACCCAGUAAGCUUCAUGUGCUUUGCAGUUUUGCUCUCCAGCUACUUCCUUGUGCUUAGCAGAACAAAAUGCUAAAAUUCUCAGUCCUUGUGCUUGUAACACUGAUGUCGUCAUCUUUUAAAUUUUGUUCAGUUUUUUAACAAUUUAACAGUGUGUAACGCUUAUACAUUCUCGAUCUAGAUAACACAGAAACAAAUAAGAAACAUUUCUGAUGGAAAUAUUCUAUAAUAGUACAGUGGUACUUCAGUUUUCAAAUGUACAGUCAUACCUCAGGUUAAAUAUGCUUCUAGUUGAGCGCGUUCGAGUUGCGCUCCUCGGCAACCCGGAAGUAACGGAGCGCAUUACUUCCGGGUUUCGCCGCUUGCGCAUGUGCAGACGCUCAAAAUGACGUCAUGCGCAGAAGCGGCGAAAAGUGAUGCGCACGUGCGCAGACAUGCCAUCGCUAGUUAUGUUUACCUCUAGAUGUAAACGGGGCUCCGGAACGGAUCCCGUUCGUAUCUAGAGGUACUACUGUAAUCCAUUCCGGAAGACCGUUCGAGUUCUGAAACGUUCAAAAACCAAAAACUCAGCAGCUGGCAGCUAGACCUCAGAAUCUUGCACUCAGCAGAAGCCCUGUGGCAUGUUAGACAUCCAAGGCGUCUUUGUAUUGGCAAGAAGUUAUAUGAAAUCAAAAUACGGAAUAGACGGGAGGUUGGGUCUUUAGUGUUAAGACCAAUUUAUAUCUUAUUGUUUGAUAAGAAAAUUCUGUGUCUAUUGCUAUUUCUGUGUGUACCGUAUUUUUCACUCUAUAAGACGCACAUUUUCCCCUUCAAAAAUUAAGAGGAAAUGUGUGUGCGUCUUAUGGAGCGAAUGCAGGCUCCUUGGCUUCAGCAAUAGCAACGCGAAGCCUCCUAAGUGCAGAGGGAGAGCUCCCCCUGCGCUCCGGAGGCUUCGUGUUGCUUUCGCUGAAGCCGCCUGAAGCCCCUGGAGCGCAGCGCAAACUCCCACUGCGCUCCGGGGGCUUCAGGUGGCUAUCCGCAAGCCUUCGGAGCGCAGUAGGAGUUCCCGCUGCGCUCUGAAGGCUUGCAGAUAGCCGCCUGGAGAGCGAGAGGGGUCGGUGCACACCGAUCCCUCUUGCUCUCCAGGCUUCGCUUCGCUGGAGAGGCGCUGCACAGUUUUCCCUCUCUGCGCAGCGCCCCUUAGGGGCUCCGUUUCUCCUGCCGCUUCACUGAGCAGAGAGGGGGAGAAUUUUUUUUUCCUGUUCUCCACCUCCUAUGGUCCGGUGCGUCCUAGAGAGCGAAAAAUACGGUAAUUUGGUGUUUGUGUUUUCUCUUUUUUCUUUUCUUGCUGUAUCAAUAAUUUUUUUUUGUAAAAAAGGCAUCUUUAUAAACUGAAGCAUUUACUCUUGGUUUACAGCGUUCGUAAACCGAAAUGUUCGUCAACGGAGACGUUCAAAAACCGAGGUGCCACUGUAUAGCUAUUAGUUAACAUCAAGAAAAGAAAACAAAAGAGAGAGAAAGCAGGGAAGGGAGAGCAGGGAAGGGGAAAAACAAGAAGAGAGAUGAAGGAUCUGUUUGUUGAAAAUCAGACAACAUUUCUUAUGUAUGUUCAUUAGCAUUAAGACGGAGGUCUUCUGCUGCCUCUGAGAUUUGUGCCUCACUGUUUUUCCUUCUUUCUCUGCCCCUCCACCUUGCAGAAAACUGCCAGAGGGAGCAUCCACAUGGGGAUUCUGAAAAUGCUCCCGAUGCCCUUGGUCUGGUUUGUGAACCGCACUGGCCUGCUGGCCUGGAUCUCUCCUUUCUUUAGAAUGUCAGUCAGAAGCCUUUCAGAAGUGGUGGCUGAGUUGACAACAAAUGCAGACCUGAGAGCAGUCUUCAGUUAUAUCUUCCCUACCUACGGUAAGCGAUACCCUCCCCUGCCAUCUGAAAGGAGCAUACGUUACAUAAGGACAGUCCCUUUGCCCUUUCUAAGGAGGCAUAAAGGAGCCUUUCCUAGUUUCAUCUGGUUGAUUAAACUUAUAACUUUGGUAAUAGAGACAGGGGGACGCAGGUGGCGCUGUGGGUUAAACCACAGAGCCUAGGACUUGCCGAUCAGAAGGUUGGCGGUUUGAAUCCCUGCGACGAGGUGAGCUCCCAUUGCUCGGUCCCUGCUCCUGCCAACCUAGCAGUUCAAAAGCACAUCAAAGUGCAAGUAGAUAAAUAGGUACUGCUUCAGCGGGAAGGUAAACGGUGUUUCCAUGUGCUGCUCUGGUUCACCAGAAGCAGCUUAGUCAUGCUGGCCACAUUACCUGGAAGCUGUACGCCGGCUCCCUCGGCCAAUAAAGCGAGAUGAGUGCCACAACCCCAGAGUCGGUCACAACUGGACCUAAUGGUCAGGGGUCCCUUUACCUUUUAAUGGAGACAGGAGGCUACUCAUCUGAGAGAGUAAAAGUGGCAUGAUCCUGACUAUUAUGUGGGAUACAGUCAUCAAAGGUUCUCAGGCAGGGUGGAAGGAGAAAGAACUUGCCCAUGUGAAGACCACCUGGUGGAAACCCUCACACAUAUGGUUCUUAAUUGUAAACUAUAUGCUGAUCUCCGUCAGCAAUUUCUAGAUCAACUCUGCAUCCCCAAAUGGAAACCAGAGUUGGAGGUCAUACAUUUUCUAUUACUGGGGAAUGAUCAGGAGCUCACCAAGUUAGUGGCUAAAUAUCUCUAUUUGGUUUUUUGCCGUCGAAAUACCCUGCAGACGUCUGAUCUCCCUGGAGACCUAGAGAUGUGACAAUAGACUGCUCUGCCUCCUUUCUUUUAGCAAAUGUUUUGUGCCACUGGGGAAGUGGUAAUUCUGUAUUGAUUUGGUUUGGAUGUUUGGAUGUGAUGCCAAUAAAAGGUUUGAAGAUGAUGAUAAAGGAGCCUCUUCUGUGUGUGGGUGGAAUUAGACAAUGAAGAGAAUAUCAACACAGCAGCCGCUGAUAUCAAGAGUCUAGGGUCUCCUCCUUGCCCUUGUACCGUCCAGUAAAAAUCAAAAGUAUUACUUGUCGUUGUGUUGAGUUUCCCUGGGCCUACAAAUGACAGCCUAUGAAGUGUAGAAGAGGGGGAGAAGCUUAGCAUGAUAACCUCCUGUCAUAUGUUGAAAUUGACCCUAUGUCACCAGCAGAGAUGGAACAAAGAGACACAACACUGCUGCUUUCAGUGGCAGCCGUGUGUAAUGAACAUGGGAAGCUAGUUCAUCAAGCUCAGUAUUGUCUCACUGUUGGUGCCUCUCCAAGAUCUCAGGCAAAGGUCUUUGACUUCACCUUCUGUCUGAUCCUUAUUUUAACCAGGGUGCAGGCUGGGGGUUAAACUUAGGACCUUCUGCAUGCAUGCAAAGCAUGUGCUCUGUCAAUCCACUCUUGAUAGAUUCAAAGAACCACUGGAUUUAGCUUACACAGGAUGAGAUGAAUGGAAAACAGUUUAUUCUGGGAGAUCCUGACAACUGCAGGUUUGAUUGUUUGGUUGCAACUGUUUGUUUGUUUGUUUGUUUGUUUGUUUGUUUGUUUGAUUGCAAGUGUUUGAUUUAGCAGACAGGAUGAGACGAAAUGGAUUAUAAAAAUGUUCAUGCAAGUUACUUGCAAUUUAUUGCUGAGAUGGAAUAGUAACCAGCUUAAGACCUUGACAUAUGCAAAGAUGAGCAAAACAUUGUGAUUAAUGGAAUCUACGAAGAGCACAAUAGCUGUUGAAGCCAUAACAUGCUUGGUUUCAUUUUGAGAAAGAUGCUGAUAGGAAUUAAGUUUCUGAUAUGAGACCUCUUCUGGCAUUCAGAGUAUAUAUAUGUGCGGGAAAGCUGUGUGCAAAGAAUUUUUUUUCACCUUUUGUUUACACAGUUUCAGUUCUUUUGCUUUGUCUUACAGGGGUGAUUCCUGCAGAUUGCAGCUUCCCUUUGCACGCCAUCCUUGUCGAUCACUUUUUGGAAGGUGCCUGGUACCCUCAGGGAGGUUCCAGUGAAAUCGCAUUUCACUCCAUCCCCAUCAUUGAACGUGCCGGAGGGGCUGUCCUCACCAAAGCACCUGUGCAGAGCAUCUUGGUGAACUCGCAAGGAACAGCCUGUGGUGAGUUGCGGACUGGAUAGAGCUCUCUGUAAGAGUCAUCGUGAUAUGUGGCUAAGGUACCAGGCUUAUAAGUCAAGCUCCUGGUUCAAAUAUAGACUCUGCCAUGAAUUAGCUCAAUUAUCUCAGGUAAGCUUCUCAGCCUUGUACCCUCCCCAUUUCCGACAUGAGGAUAAUACUGAUCUGUCCUACAAGGUUAUUAUUGUAAGGAUUAUAACAAGGUGAUAUUAUAAUAUGAAUGCUAAUGUGCUAUAUAAAUAUGCGUUUAAGUCUUAAUAAUGUUAUCUGUUCUCUCCAAGCGCUUGGCAUAGAUAGACCCACUUUGCAAGAAACACUAAGCCCCAUAUUCCUCCAAUGCAGAGCUGUUUCUCUUCUGCUGCAGUUCAGCUUCCAACAACAACAACAAAUUAUUCAUCUCGCAGUGUGAUACGGUGAAAUUUUACGUAAUUAAUUGCAAAAUUAAUUUCGUAUGGAUUGCGUUAUUCCACACCAUUUAUUUUAGUGCCAAGAAAACUCAGUAAAUGGGGAAAGGGGAAGAGGAGACUCUUAGCUUCCUAAGAACUAAGGGGAUAAAGGAUCCUGCCAAAGCUCUUCCCACCCACAUUAAACUUCCUUAAAGACAUAUAAGCUGCUUACCUGCUUAAACCCUCCCUUUUAAUUACACUGACCCUCCCGUGCUGGUGGAAAUAAUAUCUGUAUUUUUUAUAAAUAUCCUCCAGCGUGCAAUACAUCUACAAAAUAUGGCUGAUAACAUGACUUGCCUUGCAAGGUUGCUGUAAGAAUUAAUGGAAACCCUUGCAACAUUGAGGGCCAGCCCCCAAAAAAACCUUUUUAAAAAGUACCUCGUUACCCAUCAGUUUCUAGCUUCUACCUAGAAAUGGUCAUUUGUUGAGACUUCCCUGCAACCAGCAGAAAAUGAUUCCUCCUUUUUUCUUGCUUAGAGAAAUCUAAAAGAAAUGUUUUAUGGACUAUAUACACUUUUGCCUCUUUCAGGUGUAAGCGUAAAGCAAGGUCAAGAUCUUGUUAAUGUCUAUGCUCCUGUUGUGAUUUCUGAUGCUGGCAUCUUUAACACCUAUGAGCAGCUCCUGCCAAAGGAAUUGCGAGCUUUGCCAGGUAAGAGGACACAGAACAAUUUGUGCUUCCACUAUUGUAGAUGUAUGGUGGACUUGUAAUUGUGUGUGUGUGUGUGUGUGUGUGUGAGAGAGAGAGAGAGAGAGAGAGAGAGAGAGACCAUAAAAUGUAGACUUCUUUGCCAGUUUUCAUACCACAGGGUGGGUGGGUGCACACACACACACACACACACACACACACACACAAAGAGAGUUUUGUAAUUCCAGUAUUAUACUGCCAGUAACUACAGUUUGCCUUUGUGGGUUUUGUUUCGUUUUUUAGAAAGACUACAUAUCCUAAAGACGUAAGAGAUCAAAAUAUACAACCCUCAACUAAUUGUGUCCUAUGAUUCAACUGCUAGGAGGAGCUUGCAUUUGUGUGUGUGUGUGUGUGUGUGUGUGUGUGUGUGUGUGUGUUCUUAGCACUGAAUGUAGCAUAGCUGGUAAAUGUUGCUUUCCCUAAGCUUUCCCAUAGUAGACUUUUGUUGUCGUUGGGCUCGUAUCAGCCCCAGACAGCUAGGGAUAAUGGGAGUAGUGAUUUACCAUCUGGAGGGCCGCUCUUAAAACAAUAAGACAUUCUUGUCUGUCUUCUCAAGCCUUUUGUUUCUUCCGUCCUCUUUUAUACUAUACAGUGGUGCCUCAGGUUAUAUAUGCUUCAAGUUACAGACUCUGCUAACCCAGAAAUAAUACCUGGGGUUAAGAACUUUGCUUCAGGAUAAGAACAGAAAUCGCGUGGCGACAGCGGGAGGCCCCAUUAGCUAAAGUGGUGCUUCAGGUUAAGAACAGUUUCAGGUUAAGAACAGACCUCUGGAACGAAUUAAGUACGUAACCCAAGGUACCACUAUACUGUAAGCCUAGGGGUUGCUUGACUUAAGACUGUUGUUUUCCUCCAGUUUUCCUGUCUAAAACAGCUGUUGCUUGGAUUCUUAACUCUGCUUCCCUUGUCCCACUUCCUCCCUCCUUACAUCCCUCUGUUCCUCUUUGGGCAGGUGUUCAGAACCAGAUCUCUAUGAUAGAUCAUGGCGUCGGAGGAUUCUGUGUCUUCAUAGGACUGAAAGGUUCCAAGGAAGAACUGGGAUUGGAAGCCAAAAACUACUACAUCUACCCACACAACAACCUCAAUGAAGCGUAAGUGGCAGCAGCUGGGAACUCCAUUGGUUUGCGGUGGUUUGGUUUUGUUUUUUAAAAACAGCAAUACAAGUUAAUCCAGCAGGGCUCUUCUUAAAGUAAGUUGUGUUCAGAGGGCAAAUCGGUGAAGAAUGCAGCCAGAAGUUCAAGGCAUGAAAUCUUAGUGCACCACUUCAAAUUAGAGCUUGUCGGUAAAGGUAAAGGGACCCCUGACCGUUAGGUCCAGUCGCGGAUGACUCUGGAGUCGCGGCCGAGGGAGCCGGCGUUUGUCUGCAGACAACUUCCAGGUCAUAUGGCCAGCAUGACUAAGCUGCUUCUGGUGAACCAGAGCAGCACACGGAAACACUAUUUACCUUCCCGCUGGAGCGGUACCUGUUUAUCUACUUGCACUUGACAUGCUUUUGAACGGCUAGGCUGGCAGGAGCAGGGACCGAACAAUGGGAGCUCACCCCAUCAUGGGGAUUCUAACCGCCAAGCUUCUGAUUGGCAAGCCCUAGGCUCUGUGGUUUAAACCACAGCGCCAUGUCCAUUUAGUUUCUUUAGCUGCUGUACCCACAGCCCCUUCUCUUUGUUCUUGUAUGUAGAUAAAGCGCCGCAAACAAUCUUGUACAUUGGCCCUGAACUCAAGCGUGCAAAAUACACAUGAGUGUAUUUGGGUUGGGUGCAUAUGAAUUUAAUGUUCACAUCUUUUUCUACUGGCUCAACCAAACUUUUUUCUUUUUCUUAAAAAACUUAAAAAAGAAAAAAAACUGACCAGGAAUACAGUGGUACCUCGGGUUAAGUACUUAAUUCGUUCCGGAGGUCCGUACUUAACCUGAAACUGUUCUUAACCUGAAGCACCACUUUAGCUAAUGGGGCCUCCUGCUGCUGCCGUGCCGCUGGAGCCCAAUUUCUGUUCUUAUCCUGAAGCAAAGUUCUUAACCUGAAGCACUAUUUCUGGGUUAGCGGAGUCUGUAACCUGAAGCGUAUGUAACCUGAAGCGUAUGUAACCUGAGGUACCACUGUAUUGAGAACUACAAUCUGUUCACAGGUGAACGUUUUGGAUCUUGGUGCAGAACGUGGCUCAGAUCAGCACAAUGGAUAUGGCCUUUACCUCAGGAAAGAUUGUGGUCAGUGCUUGAAAAGAGACACUGGCAACUAAAAGUUUUGGCCUAGCUAGCCAAAAAUCAUAGAUAUUAGAAACUAUGCCACCUUUAACUGUCCAUAUAUAUAUAUAUAUAUAUAUAUAUAUAUAUAUAUAUGCCUCCAGCCUUAAAAGAGAUGGUAAGAAAAACUGGAAUAACACAGCGAAAAAAAUGAAUGUAUGUAAUGGGAAAAUGCAGAAAUAAUUUUUAAUAUAUAUAUAUUUACUAUAAUACAAAAGUGACACUUUAAUUAAAGUUUUAUGAAUCAAAGCUCAGGCAAAGUUUUCCUUCUUGAUAGGUUCACUUCUUACAUUAAUUCUUCAAGAGAAACUGCUCCAGAAAAGAUUCCUUUCCUGUAUAUUGGAUCCUCGUCAGCAAAGGACCCCCUGUGGGAAAAGAGAUUCCCAGGUAUGAACUUUCUUCUUUUUUAAAAGGGAUGGCGGGGGAGAGAGAAGAUUUGGGAAUUUGGGGCUCCAGGAAGGCAAGUUGUAGCCCUUGGCUUAAUUUCAUGCAUGUGACCAGGAGGGAGGAAAAGGUAAUAACAGUAAUAAUCUAUUACUUAUACCCCGCCCAUCUGGCUGGGCCUCCCCAGCCACUCUGGGCAGCUCCCAACAGAAUAUUAAAAACACGACAAAACAUCAAACAUUAAAAACUUCCCUAAACAGGGCUGCCUUCAGAUGUCUUCUAAAAGUCAGAUAGUUGUUUCACCGCUGUGGCCCUGGGGGAAUGUGGACCUCAGCAUAAAAACAGUUUCCGGCCCCUAAUAGAAGACCGGCCUGCUGGAUAUCAGGCCAAUGGUCCAUCUAGUCCCAGCAUCCUCUUCUCACAGUGACCAGUCAGAUGCCCAUGGGAAGCUUGCAAGCGGGACAUGAGCACAAGAGUGCUCUUCCCAUCUGGUAUUCCCAGCAAUUGGCAUUUGGGGGCAUUUACAGGACCACCUCUCCUGGUAUGCCCCGCAGAGGACCUUAAGGUCCAUGAAUAAUCAUAGUGUAGAGGUCCUGGGCCCUAAGGAAGUCAGAUUAUCCUCCACCAGGGCCAGGGCCUUCUCAGUGAUGGCUCUGACCUGGUGGAAUGCUCUGUUCCAUGAGACCAGGGCCCUGCAGGACUUAACUUCCUUCCACAGGGCCUAAGACGGACCUAUUCCGUCUGGCAUUCAAUUUGAACUUAGCCUGAUCUUUUAUUCCCCUUCCUUCCCUCCCACUCCCCUUUUAUGGAGAUUACCCACUCUGGGAUCCCACAGCUAAUUCUCCCCUGGUCUCCUCGCUGGCCCAAAUAGGACUAAUUUAGCCAGCUAGCCCUGGUGAUCAUCUAAUGUUAAUUGAAUGGAUUUCCCCCCAAAUUGAUUUUUGAAUUCUGAAUUUAUUGUUAUUCCCUUUUUAUACUGUAUUUUAUGCUGUUUUUUGUUGCAUCAAUUAAGUGUUUUAAAUCUGUUGUUAGCCGCCUUGAGCCCGGUUUUCUGAACUGGGAAGGGUGCGGUAUAAAUAAAAAUUUAUUAUUAUUAUUAUCGUGCCUCUUAGCCACGGAGGUAGAGCACAGCCAUUGUGGCUAGCAGCUGUGGCUGGCCUUCUCCUCGAUGAAUUUGUCUGAACCUCAUUUAAAGCCGUCCAAGUUGGUAGCCAUCGCUGCUUCCUGUGGGAGGGAUUUGCAUCGUUUAACUGUGCCCUGCAUGACUUUCUUUUUAUCCAUCCUGUUUUGCUUCAGUCUGGGUUUGAUCCAGGAUGGUGGGCGUAUGAGCCAGAGACAUGGUCAUGAACGAGCUGGAGAUCAGAUUAUCAGAUCAAGGAAACGAGAGCUGAUAGCAGGAGGCCUGCUCAAGGACAGGCUGGAGGCACUGGCGGAGGAAGGGGUGGGUGGUGGGUGCGGUUUGCCCUGGGUGUCAUCCCUGAAGGGGGGUGACAUCGCUGCCCCACUGCCUGGGAUGCUAGCUCCGCCCCCGCGGGUGGCUAGCCCAUAGCUGUCAACUUACAGAUUUGAAAAUAAGGGACCAUCAGCCUCGAAAAUAAGGUAUCAGCAGCCAAAAUAAGGGAUUUUCAGGGCACAGGUAUGUUCAGCUUCUGAGCCCCUCCGGGCCAAAGGCAGAAAGCCCAGCCAGCAGCCAAACGAAGCCUCAAGCGAUGGUUCCCACAGUGCAGCAACCCAGAAAAGGAGAUGCAGCAAGGAAAACCACUGUCACCUCUCUGCUGGGAAGCGCUGAGCAAAGGCGAGUCCCCAGGCAACGCGGCCGAUUUGAUCAGCACAAGGCAUGCAAGCUCCACCCCCCAGUCGUUCUUAGACUCCUUAUUGGGUGAGCAACACAGCCAAGCAACACAGUUGGAGCCUCCCUCCUCCCUGGCCAGCAGGGAGGGAGGGAGAGGAGCUGCUUCCUUUGAAACCCGGGAAAUUUAACGGACAUCAUCAAUAAGGGACAGCAGCAGGACACAGCGCUGGGAUAAGGGAGUUUCCCGCCUAAUAAGGGACAGUUGACAGCUAUGGGCUAGCCCCACCCCUGUGCACCGCUCCAGGUGCCGGAGCAGCUAGCUCCACCUCUGGCUGGAGAUCAGACAGAUACUGGACAUAGCUGUCAACCUUACCUUUUUUUUGCGGGAAAUUCCCGUAUUCCAGCGCCGUUUCCCUCUGCUUCCCACUGCUAUCCCGGAUUGUUAGAUAUCCCGUAGACUGUCCCUGGGACAGGUGAGGCUGCUGAUCCCUUAUUUUCAAAUCUGAAAGUUGACAGCUAUGAUGCUGGACUGGAUCACUGCAGCAGCAUAAAGAGACAGAGUCUGCGUUAUUACUCAAAGGGGGAAAUUACUCAAACUACCAGCCUAGAGGAGAGUGGCUUUGUAAGCUUUCAGAAUAUUUAGAAUUAGCCAAAUUGACAGAUAUAAUAAGACAAAAAGCAAAAAGUGAAGUGAAAAAGGAAUGGGGGUGUCUAAAUGAAUACCUUAAAAGUCAAGGUUCGAGGACAGAAAUCUGGCUGAGUCUGGAAUAACCUUGUGAAGUGAAAGGAUAAGAAAGAGGGAUUUAUAUCUGGAUGCUAGGAUAGAGAUGAUAAGGAAAACAGGAAGACACAAUGAGAGGUAAAGGAGCUGCUGUGGGAUUGGUGGAAGUCAAUGUUUGUUUUUCCUUUUAGUGUUUAUAUUACUAACUUGUAAGAUAUGGAUUUGUUUUUGUUUUGUUUUUGAAUGUUGGUUUUUGUGUUUUGUGUACUGUUAUUUUUUGAUAUUUUUUGUGCUGUUGUUGUGUGGGAAAUACUAAUAAAAUUUAUAAUUAAAAAAAUUUAAAACAAAAAAACAAACUACCAGCCUAGAAGAAAGGUUUUUGUAGGGCCUGCUUCCAACAGUCAAGAAGGAAGUUUCUGCACGUGCUGUAGAGGAAGUGAGGGGCAGAUGGGCCUCAGCCUGGGAAGGUAACCCAUCUAAGAGAAGGAAGACUCUGAUCCUGAACUUCCGUUGCCUUGUGGAAGAAGAAAAGGCUAAGGAGUAAACCCUAUACAAAUUCAGAGUCGAGUCCCUAAGGCGGUUGGAUGGCGCCUUGUAUGUCUCCUUAAGCUGGUGCCAAACAUAUUAAUAAAUAAAUAAUAAUAAAAUUUAAUUUAUAUCCCGCCCUCCCCAGCUGAAGCCGGGCUCAGAGCGGCUAACAACAAUAAAAAUAACAUAGCAUUCUAAAAUCAAUUCAUUCUAAAAUCAAUUCAGAAUCAAAUUAAUGGCAACCAUUGGGCUAGAGUUCUGUGAGGAUUGCCAAAGGAGGGGGUCAGACUGUGCCUUGGCCAAAGGCCUGGUGGAACAGCUCUGUCUUGCAGGCCCUGCGGAAAGAUGUCAAGUCCCGCAGGGCCCUAGUCUCUUGUGACAGAGCGUUCCACCAGAUCGGGGCCACAGCCGAAAAAGCCCUGGCUCUGGUUGAGGCCAGCCUAACCUCCCUGUGGCCCGGGACCACCAAGAUGUUUUUGUGUGAAGCUCUGCUUUCCUUUGGACCACAUCAGUGAGAAAGGGGGUCUUAUCCUCUGGGCAGCCCAGGAGCUCCAUAUACACCCUGGGAAAAUCACUUUGGUGCUGCUGAGGCAGCUUUGUGACUGCAUGAAAACUCUGUUGUUUCUCAAGACGGAUGGAUUCCAAGAACUGUUUCCUCUUCAAAGAGCUGUAACAGCUGCUGAGAGCAUUCAGGCCAGUUCUGCAGCCUAGAGGGCAGCCUUGCUGUACGCAGCCUGGCUGUGCCUGUGGUAGAAGAGGCGUGAUGCCUCAGGAAACCCCAGCAUGAGUCAUAUCCUCACUUGACACCUUACAAAUCUGUGCAUAUAGGAUUGUGAGAUGCCGCUUUGUGACAACUACAUCGCUAAUGAAUGUCUUCAUAUCCCUUUCAUUAUAGGCAAGUCCACUCUAAUUGUCCUGACAGCUGCAAAGUAUGAAUGGUUUGAGGAAUGGAAGGAAGAAAAGGUUUCUAAGAGGGGAGCCGUGUAUGAGGCCUUUAAAAACAGUUUUGUGGACAACAUAAUGGACACGGUUUUGAAGGUUUACCCUCAAAUAAAAGAUCAGGUAAGAGCACUUUUAGUGUGUCAGCAAAUGAUUCUUAUUCUUGUACAAGAAUGGUGUCUUCUCUACUUCUUGAUGUAGAAGAGAGAGACCCUAAUCCAAUGCCAACAUCAGCCUUUAAGGUAAAGGGACCCCUGACCAUUAGGUCCAGUUGUGACCGACUCAGGGGUUGCGGCGCUCAUCUCGCUUUAUUGGCCGAGGGAGCCGGCGUACAGCUUCCGGGUCAUGUGGUCAGCAUGACUAAGCCGCUUCUGGCGAACCAGAGCAGCGCAUGGAAACGCCAUUUACCUUCCCGCCAGAGCGGUACCUAUUUAUCAACUUGCAUUUUGACGUGCUUUCGAACUGCUUGGUGGGCGGGAGCAGGGACCGAGCAACGGGAGCUGACCCCGUCGCAGGGAUUCAAACCGCCGACCUUCUGAUCGGCAAGUCCUAGGCUGUGUGGUUUAACCCACAGCGCCACCCAUGUCCCCUUAAACAUCAGCUUUUAUAAUUUCACAUAAGCCGCUCAAAACCCCGUUCCCUCCCAGCUUGCCCCGCCUUUUAUGCAGAAGUUAUAUCCCGGUCAUAAUGUUUGAUAAGCAACCUCGUACUUCAUUUCUUUGUGGUUUCCAUUCCCGUAAGCCUUCUUUUUAUCUUACAGUUAGCAAGCUCUACUUUGAUGUUAGGACGCAGGUGCCACUGUGGUCUAAACCACUGAGCCUCUUGGGUCGGCGGUUCAAAUCCUCGCAACGGAGUGAGCUCCUGUUGCUCUGUCCCAGCUCCUGCCAACCUAGCAGUUCGAAAGCACGCCAGCCCAAGUAGAUAAAUAGGUAUCACUGCAGCAGGAAGGUAAAUGGCAUUUCCGUGCGCUCUGGCUUCCGUCACGGACUUCUGUUGUGCCAGAAGCAGUUUAGUCCUACUGGCCACAUAACCCGGAAAGCUGUCUGUGGACAAACGCCAGCUCCCUCAGCCUGAAGUGAAAUGAGCUCCGCACCCCAUAGUCGCCUUUGACUGGACUUAACCAUUAUGGGGUCUUUUAUCUUACCUAUUACCUUACUUUGAUGCUGUUUCUCAUCCUUGGUAUGAACUUUGCUUCACACAUAGCUUAACCACAGCUUCUUCCACUGCCUUGUGGUUACGAGAGUUCUCGUUAUUGUCUGGAACAUUUUCUGUGGGCAUUUCGUGGUCAAAAAAGGAAACUAACCCAUGUUGCAACCAGCGGCGUUGGUUUGACUUUCCUCCUCUCCAACCACCACUGCACAUUCUUUUAAUAAGCAAGCAGUAAACUGAACUCUGCUUCAGUCCUGCUGACCACUUAUUUGAUGUUUCGCUGGUUACGUGUUCCUUCAGGUCCAAAUAACCCCUUUAAAGCCUUAAAACAGUCGGAGACCAGCCUGCCUAGGACCUUCGUUCCACCUAGGAGUUCAGGUCCACCACUGCCUGAGAUAAAGGAGAGGGCCUUAGCAGUUGUGGUACCCAGGAUCUCGAGAGAAGUACACCCGGCCCCUUUGCUUCCUGCUUUUAGGCAGAGAGUGAAAGUUUGGUUUAAGUGGCUUUUUUCAGAAUCUUGGUUUUAUUGCGUAUUCCGUUACUGGUUUUAAACAGAUGUUAGUUUUGCUAGCUUGCUUGUCUUUAGGCUGACUUUUGCUUCAUAUAAUCCUGGUUUUUAUGCAAAGCAGCUUUUAUUUUAUUUUGUCAUCCAUUUUCUGUACAGCCCUUCUGCCAAGGCAAUCGUAGUUGAAUAUACUAAAUAAAUAAAUGAACAUUAUGAAAGGCAAGUGGGACCUGCAACAAAGAGUAGCCAUGUAGAGUGUUCAAAGUCAGGGCGCUGGCCAACAAGCUUUGGCUGGCUGCUCCGUUCCAUUUCCCCACCCCAGUAUUCAGUUUGCAUUCUACAGGCCCUGAUCACUCAUUCCUCCCUCCUAAUGCUGCCUUCUUUUUUAAUAACUUUUUUUUUGUCCUCCUGCAAACCUUUUAAAAAAUAAUUUUAAAUAUUUUAUUAAGGUGAUUUCAGUUAAAAGAAAUAAAGUGAUACAGAAAACAAAGAAAAGUGAGAGGGAGAAAAACUACAACAAAGAUACAUAUAAAAAUGAAAAUAAACACACACAAAAAGCAAUAUACGAUAUUCCCAUACAUUCUUGUAUAAAUUGGCAUAGUGUCAUUGUCCUAGUGCUUAUGUAAAUGUUAACAGCCUACUACAUUUCGUAUAAAUUCAUUCCAAAUGUUAUCGUAUUUAUCCACACAGAGUUGCCCCAAACCUGCUGUCACCUGCUCUUGUACGGUGAUGGUGCCGUUUUGGCUAUGUAAGGGUCAAUGUUCAGAGAAUGGGUUUAGUGGUACCUCGGGUUAAGAACUUAAUUUGUUCCGGAGGGCCGUUCUUAACCUGAAACUGUUCUUAACCUGAGGUACCACUUUUGCUAAUGGGGUCUCCCGCUGCCGCCACAGCACCGGAGCACAAUUUCUGUUCUCAUCCUGAAGCAAAGUUCUUAACCCGAGGUACUAUUUCUGGGUUAGCGGAGUCUGUAACCUGAAGCCUCUGUAGUCUGAAGCGUCUCUAACCCGAGGUACCACUGUAGUAUGGAUCAGGAAUGAAGAAUCUCUGCCCUCCAUCAGCUACGGCCAAUGGCCAGCAAUAAUGCGAGAGUUGGCAUCCAGCAACAUCCACACGGUCAAAGGUUCUCUGUCCCUACUAUGUAGAUUAGGACUCUUCCAGAAACAUGGCGUUGGUUUCUUCUCCUUCCACAGGGCAAAUAGUUCUUGUAGUCCAAUGGAGAUGGAGGAGUACCUUUUCUAUUUUUUGUCUGAUGAGGUGAAAAUGAAUUAACAGUAAUAAUGCUCCCUGGACAUUUGAUCUUUCUCUGUUCAGAUUGCGUGUGUCUCUGCAGGAACUCCGCUCACCAAUAAGCACUACAUAGCUUCUCCGCGAGGAGAGAUGUAUGGCAUAAACCACAGUAUGGCUCGCUUCCAGCCGGACUUCAUGGCAACAGUACGACCUCAGACCCCUGUCCCAAACCUCUACCUUACAGGUAAAUGCUACCUCCUCACUUUUUCCAGUGUACCGCAACUGUUGGCCGUUAUAAGGACUCUUUCAACUACUUUCAACUACUGCAAUGCGCUCCAUGUGGGGCUACAACUAAUCCAGAAUGCGGCAGCUAGACUGGUGACUGGGAGUGGCCGCCAAGACCACACAACACCAGUCGUGAAAGACCUACAUUGGCUCCCAGUACGUUUUCGAGCACAAUUCAAAGUGUUGGUGCUGACCUUUAAAGCCCUAAAUGGCUUCGGUCCAGUAUACCUGAAGGAGCGUCUCCACCUCCAUCGUUCUGCCCGGACACUGAGGUCCAGUGCCGAGGGCCUUCUGGCGGUUCCCUUGCUGCGAGAAGCCAAGUUACAGGGAACCAGGCAGAGGGCCUUCUCGGUAGUGGCACCCACCCUUUGGAAUGCCCUCCCACCAGAUGUCAAAGAGAAAAACAACUACCAAACUUUUAGAAGACAUCUGAAGGCAGCCCUGUUUAGGGAAGCUUUUAAUGUUUAAUAGGUAAUUGUAUUUUAGUGUUUUGUUGGAAGCUGCCCAGAGUGGCUGGGGAAACCCAGCCAGAUGGGCGGGGUACAAAUAAUAAAUUAUUAUUAUUAUUAUCAACCUGCCUCAUCUCAAGGGCAUAGAAUAGAUAACUUUUCCGCACUAGGCCUGUGUUGAAGAUUUGGGGAUCUUGUUGCUGAUUAGUGAGGAAAAUAAGGCAGCAAAAGUGAAAUUCUAAAACAAGAGCAGAGUUGGGUGUUGCUGGUUUUUUCAGUGGCGUGAACACGACACAGGAGCACAAAAACUACAUUAGUGGGGCAGGCAUUAGGGAGGGAGUGGGCCAGCAGAGGAGGAAUAGUUUCCUGAGUGGGUCUUGGCAUUUGAACAUUCUCUUUCCAGUUCCUUACAUUUGCCCCAAUUCCUGAGGCCUUUGGGGUUUGGUUGGACAAGUGGACACAGAUAACUUUAUUAUUAUUUCUUAUCAUUUUCAAUUUUACAAUAUCUGCACAAAUCAAGAAAACAAAUGAUACAUUGCACAGCGACUUCCCUCCCUGCCCCUUUCCCUGGUUCAUUUCAGUUUUCCUUUACUGCUGCAUAUUCUAAUUGUUCCUUAUUCUUUCUCCUCCAGUUUUUCCUCCGUUAUAUAAUUUUAUUGGGCCUACCCAAUAUUUUAUUCAAGUGGGCACCCCUGCCCUCCACUAGUUUAUGUACCUUCCCCCAGUGGGUUGUGGGCACACAGCCAGAGACUGCAUUUGUGUGGAAACUUCCUUGGCUGCUUCCUUUUCAAUAGGGGACAGUCAUUCAGGAGAGCAUUCUGGGGGCCAGUCUAGGGCAGGGGUUUUCAGCAGGGGGCCGGUCCACUGUCCCUCAGACAUUUUGGGGGGCCUGACUAUACUGGGGGGGACGAAUUCCUAUGCCCCACAAAUAACCCAGAGAUGCAUUUUAAAUAAAAGCACACAUUCUACUCAUGUAAAAACACACUGAUCCCCAGACCGCCCGUGGGCCAGAUUUGGAAGGUGGUUGGGCUGGAUCUGGCCUUAGUUUGCCUACCCAUAGGGGACAGUCAUUCAGGAGAGGCUGGGGAAGCCCUUGGCCCUUCACUUGCCUGAUCCCUCUUCUUCUGACCCAUCCUGGGCUCCACCCUCCAGCUCUGAAUCUUCCUCUGCCUCUGAUUCUUGCCAGCUGGCUGGUACAGGUCCCUGCAAACCACUGCCCAACCCUCUCCUGAGUCAGCGUCUAGCCAGUCCCUGACAUCUGGCUACACAAGCGCCUUUUUUUAGCCCCGUGAUGCUCUCCCAAGCGGAAAGUAUGUACAUUCCAGGCUGUUGACAAGGGGAUGUGAUGAACAAGAGGACAGACCGAGCAGAGACUGACAAGUGGCAGUGAUGUCUUUGUUUUCUCCUAGGCCAGGAUGUGCUUUUAGCUGGUUUCGCAGGAGCCCUUCACGGAGCCAUUCUCUGCGCUUCUGCUGUCCUGGGACGUAAUCUCUACAUCGACUUGAUAUUCCUAGGCAAGAAAAUCAAAGCCAGCGAUGCCGAAAAGAAAAACUAAGCCUUCGGUCUCUACCACACAAAUGAGAGUUGCUCCUGCCUCCUGCCUUAUUGGUGAUCUGAAAGCUGCCUUCUUUUCUGGGUUCUUCAUGUCUCCAGCAGGGGAUGCUAACUGGUGCCAAAACUAUAUGCUUUGGUGCUUUUGCGUGUCAAGGUCCCAAGCCACCCUUAAAUAAUUUCACACAGGAAUUUUGUUUAACGUUUUUGGCAUAAUUUUGGCCACAACUUUAUU